rnacentral:rRNA from 1 species
UACGUAGGGUGCGAGCGUUGUCCGGAAUUAUUGGGCGUAAGGAGCUCGUAGGCGGUUUGUUGCGUCGGCCGUGAAAACCUGCAGCUUAACUGUGGGCCUGCGGCCGAUACGGGCAGACUUGAGUUCGGUAGGGGAGACUGGAAUUCCUGGUGUAGCGGUGAAAUGCGCAGAUAUCAGGAGGAACACCGGUGGCGAAGGCGGGUCUCUGGGCCGAUACUGACGCUGAGGAGCGAAAGCGUGGGGAGCGAACAGG